rnacentral:rRNA from 1 species
CGACGAGUUUGAUCCUGGCUCAGGAUGAACGCUAGCGGCAGGCUUAACACAUGCAAGUCGAGGGGUAUAGUUCUUCGGAGCUAGAGACCGGCGCACGGGUGCGUAACGCGUAUGCAAUCUACCUUUACAGAGGGAUAGCCCAGAGAAAUUUGGAUUAAUACCUCAUAGUAUGUGAGAAUCGCAUGGUUUUCACAUUAAAGUCACAACGGUAAAAGAUGAGCAUGCGUCCCAUUAGCUUGUUGGUAAGGUAACGGCUUACCAAGGCAACGAUGGGUAGGGGUCAUGAGAGGGAGAUCCCCGACACUGGUACUGAGACACGGACCAGACUCCUACGGGGAGGCAGCAGUGAGGAAUAUUGGACAAUGGGGCGCAAGCCUGAUCCCAGCCAUGCUGCGUGCAGGAUGACGGUCCUAUGGAUUGUAAACUGCUUUU